GAUGAACGCUGGCGGCGUGCUUAAUACAUGCAAGUCGAACGGAAAGGCGCUGCUUUUGUGGGGUGCUCGAGAGGCGCAGGGGUGAGUAAAACGUGUGUAACAUGCCCUUGUAUUUGGGAUAACUUUAGGAAAAAGGGGCUAAUACAGGAUAGGAGAUACUGCUGCGUGGUGGGGGUUGGUAAGUUUCGGCGGUUGGGAAUGAUUUCGCGGGUUAUCCGCUUGUUGGUGGGGUAGUGGCUUUCCCGGGCUUCGAAGGGUACCCGGCCUGUGAGGGUGACCGGCCACACUGAGUCUGACGUAAGGCCCCAGCACCUACGGGAGGCAGCAGUGCGGAAGAUUGAACAAGGGACGGAAGCCGAAUGAUGCAGCGCCUCGUACGGUAUGACGGCCUUCGGGGGGUAAACCGCAUGCGCCUGUGACGAAGCGUGAGUGACGGGAAUGGGUAAAGAAGCACCGGCUAACUUCGUG
rnacentral:rRNA from 1 species